AAAAAGCGCGGAACACAAAUAUCGUCCGCGAAAAUUAAGCAUUGAAUUACUGUACAAAUCUCGGGUUGUUAGGUGUUAGAAUCCCUAGUUACCCGAAAAAUUUGAUUGGAUCCGAUACUUAGAAAUAACCAAUCAGAUACUUUGUAACAAAUGCAACACAAUCAGUGCGUUCAGUAAGUAUAACGUUUCAAGAUGGCGGAGCGAAUUGCAUGGUUAUUGUUUCUACUCGAUGGAUUCGCAGAUAAUUCGGAAAUAGAUCAGAUUGGGAUCAAUAACUGUAUUGCAUACGAUCAUUUACAUGUAUAACCAGGUGUGUGUUGCCAGUAAUGGUUGAAGAUAUGCCAAACAAAUUGUGCCUCUCUACAGACAGAUUUCAGGUCUCAAUUUCGACUUCAAAGGUCAACAUAUCACUGAUAUCAGGAAUUCUGUACAACUGUGGAACCAUGUAUGGUACGUGACCGCACAAUGUUGGUUGGCAAAAGGAUAUUGGAAUAAGCAAAGGGACUCAACAUUACACAGUCAUUUCAACAUGUAGUCUUGUCAGCAAUGAUGGAGCAGUACUUCAGAUUUCCAGAAUCUCGUCAUGAGCUGAAGAUCAUUGCCUAUGAAUUUCAUGAAUGAUGUAGAAUGAUUGGACUGUUGAUGGAACCCACAGUGCAUGUCCUGCUUCAACAUCUGAGCAUAGGUCCUUGUUUAUCAGCAGUUUAGUUCUUCAAGCAGUCUGUGACAGUAACUUGAAAUGUUUGGACAUAUGACCUGGAUGGCCAAGUUCUGUGCAUGAAGCCCAUUUAAAUAGGAACGGCCCAGUGGCGCAUUAAAUGGACAUUUUUCGAAUGUUCUCGAGGAUUCAGCUUACCGCCUGACAAGAAAUCUUGCUUUUUGUUCAGUAUUGAGGCCAUGGACAUUUGUAUCAUUUGCAAAAGAUACUGCGAUAUUUGUGCCUUUGUUCAUGCUUUAUAGUUGAUUAACAAUUGGAAGCCAUAACCUGUUUUAUAGGAUGGUGUUAGUGAGACAAUGAAUUUUGUAAAGAUUUAAAGACUGGAAAAGAUAAUUAAAAGUCAAAAGAGUUGUGCUAUUGUUAAGCAUGCUUUAUUGAUUUGUAAUGUUAGAAAGAUAGCAUUAUUAACAGAAUAAAAUGUCCAUAAUUUGAA